GUUUGUAUCAUGUUGCACAGUCUGAGUCCCACCUCACUUGAGCCUGACAUAUAAAUCUUAGAGCUUUUUUUGUUUUAAUUUUGGAGUCUGAAAACAACAUUUCUACCCAGUUAAUUUUGGAGAGGACAUCCCUGUCUGAACGCACACUUUCUAACCAAGCAACCUUCCACCUCAGUUGGGUCUAUUUUGGUGAAGCAACUAAAAGGGACCUCCACUGUGGAUGAAAUUUAGCCACAAUCCCUCUGACCUUUUGGGUUCAACGUUUGUCUCCAGUCCAGUGACCACAAACAACUCCUGGAUUGCUGUAAAUGUCAGUGCAGCGGUGUCCCCGCCCUAUCCCCUGUGAACCACAGAGCUGCACUCAACCUGCACUAACAGGACAAUUUCAUGAGGGCUCCAUUAUCAGUUAGACCAGGUUUGAUAACUCAGGUUUCCUUCUAAUGACGUCUCUAUAACCUGAAGAGCUAUCAUCAGUCAGGCAGUAAAGAGUCUCUUGUACUUUUUUUUAUUUUACUUUUAUCCAGCCAAAAAUAUCAUAUGAGUCAAAGGUAGAAAUUAUUAAAAAUAAUUUUGACCUAUUUUGUGUACCACCCAGUGUUCACCAUCUAUCAUAAUUGUCAGAUGUAAUAGAUUGUAAUUUAUAUCCUGAAGACACUGGUUGUAAUGCAUUCCAUUUUGAAGCACUUUGGCUCACACUUCCCCCCACCCAUAAACAGACACGCUCCCUUUUCUCUGCUCCCUGGGCCUCCUGAGGUUGGUGUCUCUGCUUUAGAACUCCAUUGUUGCCUGCUGCUGGAUAAUGCCCUUAUUAAUUGUACCUCUUUGUAAGGUGUCAGCUGUAGCCUCAGAUUGAGAUGGAUGGAUCUCUGGAGUCUGCUUCCCUGGCCCUCCAUAGACCCUCUAUCUCUGCGCAACACACAGAUGCAACAGCGAGCUCUGCCACAUAUGACUAAAAGCCUUGAUAAAACAGGCAUUUUAAUUGUUGCACCAGGAAGGAAAAGGUCUCCAACUAAAACCUAAUAAAGGUAAUUUUACCUAUUUCUAAGGUGAGUCGGCAUCUUACGUAGGAUCCAUAACAAAGCUGAAUUAUAUCUAGAUUUCUUUUCUGUAUUGAUUAUUUCAGUUUAUUGCAGAUAUGCUGCUUAAUUAAGCGCAUUGAACCCUUUGUGAAUUUAGCUGCAUUGACAUCAAAUCCUCCAGCUCUCAUUAAAGGAAACAGUCAGUUUAAUUAAUGUAUAUUAAGCUCCACUGAUACUAUUUUUUUAGCUUUGAGUAAAGCAUGGUGGUGCCUCCGUUGGGUCCUAAAAAGAAAGGUUUGAUAGCUUCCUUAAGAAUAAGACCUUUAUUUGUU